GGAUUGUGGCUCAGUGGUAGAGAGCUUGCCUAGCACGUUGAGGCCUUGGGUUCAAUCCUCAGCACCA
rnacentral:tRNA from 1 species